GUCAGGGUAGCUCAGUUGGUAAGAGCGUAGGAUUCAUAACCCUAAGGUCGGGAGUUCGACUCUCCCUCCUGACACCA
rnacentral:tRNA from 4 species